UUACGUGAAAACGAGAUAUCGGAUUAGAAUAAGCAAGUUUCACAAAAGAGGCAAGUUCUCAAAGCUAAAAACAGAUAGAGAUAAGAUAAGAUAAAAGAUGAUUAGGUUUUUGGUCCUAAAAACUAUUUAUAGUGAAGGCUAAGUGUUGUGGGUCAGCCCGGAACAAACCGGGUACUGAACGCUCUUCUUGGGUCGUCGGGUGAGCACCUUGGUGUGUGAUAGAGUGAAGCCGAGGUCUUUAUGUUGAGGGGCGCACGUGACCAAAGAUCAGGAUAAAAAUCUCAUGAAGAACACGUCAAGAACAUGCAUGAACCCUAGUCUUCAAUCCAUCUUCACGUGCAAAUCUCUGAGCCAACUUGUUCUUGAAUCUGGGUUUGUGACAAGGGACCUCGGCAUGCAAUGCCGAGGGUCUUGGUAGUCGAGGGAUCAAGGCAGAUGAAGUUCGACAUGCAAUGCCGGGGUCUUGAAGCCAGGGUUUAGAUCCAACACUUAGUCAUUUUCAGCUUCGCUUGUUCAACAUGCAUGCCUCGGUCUUGAUACACCAAGGGGUUAGCACGAGGUCUGGACCAAAGAGCUUCAGGGAAUGAGCCUCCGCUUAGGCAAUGUCGAGGUAAUGAUGCCGAGGCUCGCAGAUGCACUUAGUACGUAUUGCAACUCUUUAGGCCUGUACCGACCCGCUUGUCUCCCGAUUGCAAUAACUUUCAGCACACAACUCCAAAUGACUUGAAACCGGCUCUACGAUCAAUAUCACUCAUUUAUCUCAAACGUUCGUGAUGAAACCGUCGGAGCUUGAGGAGUGGAAGGUCCCCCGGAUUGCUCAUCUUUGCAUCGCAUCGGAAUGGCAGGAAAAACGAUAUUAGACCGACGUCUAUUCCGGAGAUGAUAUCUUUCCUACUACAGCUCCAAAUUGGGUGACCUUAGGUGUUCUGGAAAGAGUACUCAAAGAUAUAGAACUUAAAUGAAGGCCCUAAAAACUGAUUCGAACUGGAAAGGCAUCGUCCUACGUAAUCUUUGAAACUCAUCGGAUCGGCUCUUGAAUGCAUUCAAGACAGGUGUGUCUCCUGGUGGUGAUAUCUCUCUACAUACAGCUCCGAAUUCAAUGAUUCAAACUUUUCUGGGAUCUUGAUUUGAUUAUCUCCAACUUUGAUGAAGACCCCGUUAACUGAUUCGGAUCAUAAGAUUUCCCGGAUUCACAAUCUUUGGUGCGCGCGGGUGAAAAAUGGAUUUUAGCCGAGAAAUGCUUCCCGCGGUAAGGAAAAUAUCCGAGAAACGUGUACCUAUAGAUCCACAAGUCCCGUCUCACCUUUGCCACUUGAUGAUGAAUAACCAAUAUGGUUCACCUUCGGACAGUUUGACAUCCAACAGAAAAACGAUCAUAACUUUCUUGUCACAGCUCGGAAUGGAUAUCGAAAGAUUGAUCUAGAAAGCUGGAUUGGAGAUCUUCACGCCGGUAUGUAGAUCGCCUUCUAAAGCUUCCUAGAUCGCCGGAAAUACGCUUCACAAAUCAGCUGCCCGCGGAUCGGACUUUUGCAAAUAUGGCUCGGGAAAACACUCAUAACUUUUAGAAGAUAACUCGAAAUAAGGAUCCGUUUGCGGCUGUAGCUAGAUAUGAAGGUGUAGAAUCACCUUACCAAGUUUCGUGCCGAUCUGAUCUGAGUUGACCAUACGAUUAUCUCUUAUGCCAGAACACGUCAGAUCAGCCUCCUAGGUUGCUGCAAUG
rnacentral:lncRNA from 1 species